GUUUUGAAGGGUUUGAUCCUGGCUCAGAGUGAACGUUGGCGGCGUGGAUUAGGCAUGCAAGUCGAACGCAGUGGGGGCAACUCCACUGAGUGGCGAAAGGGUGAGUAAUGCAUAAUCAAUCUGCCCCUGAGACUGGAAUAGCUACUGGAAACGGUAGGUAAUGCCAGAUGGUCCCGUUGGGUGGCAUCACCCGUUGGGUAAACGGUAGGGAUCUUCGGACCUUCUGCUCGGGGAGGAGAUUAUGUCCUAUUAGCUAGUUGGUGAGGUAAUGGCUCACCAAGGCUGUGAUGGGUAGCUGGCCUGAGAGGGUGGUCAGCCACAUUGGGACUGAGACACUGCCCAAACUCUUACGGGAGGCUGCAGUCGAGAAUCUUCCGCAAUGGGCGAAAGCCUGACGGAGCGACGCCGCGUGGAGGAUCGAAGGCCUUCGGGUUGUAAACUCCUUUCGAGCGGGGACGAAUAGCCUGGCGUGAACAGCGUCGGGUGUGACUUAACCCGCAGAAGAAGCUCCGGCUAACCCUGUGCCAGCAGCCGCGGUAAUACAGGGGGAGCGAACGUUACUCGGAAUCACUGGGCAUAAAGGGCGCGUAGGCGGUCCUGUAAGUCGGAUGUGAAAGACCUUGGCUCAACCAAGGAAUGGCAUCCGAUACUGCGGGGCUUGAGGCCAAGAGGGGCAAGCGGAACUCCUGGUGGAGCGGUGAAAUGCGUAGAUAUCAGGAGGAACACCGGUGGCGAAGGCGGCUUGCUGGAUUGGUUCUGACGCUGAGGCGCGAAAGCCAGGGGAGCAAACGGGAUUAGAUACCCCGGUAGUCCUGGCCGUAAACGAUGGGCACUGGGUAGUGGAGACUAUCUAUGGUCUUCGCUGCCGUAGCUAAUGUGUUAAGUGCCCCGCCUGGGGAGUAUGCUCGCAAGGGUAAAACUCAAAGGAAUUGACGGGGGCUCACACAAGCGGUGGAGCAUGUGGUUUAAUUCGAUGCAACGCGAAGAACCUUACCCAGACUUGACAUGUACGGAUUAGCUUUCCGAAAGGCGAGCGACACCCGCAAGGGUGGAACGUACACAGGUGUUGCAUGGCUGUCGUCAGCUCGUGUCGUGAGAUGUCGGGUUAAGUCCCAUAACGAGCGAAACCCCUAUCAUUAGUUGCCAACGGGUAAAGCCGGGGACUCUAGUGAGACUGCCGUUGUCAAAACGGAGGAAGGUGGGGAUGACGUCAAGUCAUCAUGGCCCUUAUGUCUGGGGUGACACACGUGCUACAAUGGCAAGGACAACGGGUACCGAAGCCGCGAGGCGGAGGCAAUCUUCCAAACCUUGUCUCAGUUCGGAUUGCAGUCUGAAAUUCGACUGCAUGAAGUUGGAAUCGCUAGUAAUCGCGGAUCAGCCAUGCCGCGGUGAAUAUGUUCCUGAGCCUUGUACACACCGCCCGUCAAGCCACGAAAGCCGGGAGCGCCUGAAGUCAUUUGCCUAACCUUCGGGAGGGCGAUGCCGACGGCGAGUUCGGUGAUUGGGACUAAGUCGUAACAAGGUAGCCGUAGGGGAACCUGCGGCUGGAUCACCUCCUUU
rnacentral:rRNA from 1 species